GCCUAGCUGGCUCAGUCAGAAGAGUGUGCGACUCUUGAUCUCAGGGUUGUGAGUUCAAGCCCCACAUUGGGUG
rnacentral:tRNA from 1 species